GACGUAGGGCGCGAGCGUUGUCCGGAUUUAUUGGGCGUAAAGAGCGUGUAGGCGGUUUGGUAGGUCCGCUGUGAAAACUCGAGGCUCAACCUCGAGACGCCGGUGGAAACCAUCAGGCUAGAGUCCGGAAGAGGAGAGUGGAAUUCCUGGUGUAGCGGUGAAAUGCGCAGAUAUCAGGAAGAACACCCGUGGCGAAGGCGGCUCUCUGGGACGGUACUGACGCUGAGACGCGAAAGCGUGGGGAGCGAACAGGG
rnacentral:rRNA from 1 species